rnacentral:sRNA from 1 species
UGAAGUAAAAAAGAGUUGAAAGAAUAAACUGUUAAUACGAACGGUGGGCAUGUUAUGCUGAAAAGGUUCGAGGGAUAAGGGAAGGUACUAGCUAUUUUGUGAGUUCCUCGGGCACUAUCAAAAGUCUAUACCUAAUUACGGUUGGUUUUCUAAUUGAAUAAUUAAUGCA